AUGAACGCUAGCGGCAGGCUUAACACAUGCAAGUCGAGGGGCAGCACGGUAGCAAUACUGGUGGCGACCGGCGCACGGGUGAGUAACGCGUAUGCAAUCUACCUUUAACUGGAGAAUAGCUCCGAGAAAUCGGGAUUAAUACUUCAUAAUAUUUUGGGGAGACAUCUCCCUGAUCUUAAAGCUCGGCGGUUAAAGAUGAGCAUGCGUACCAUUAGCUAGUUGGUAGGGUAACGGCCUACCAAGGCUACGAUGGUUAGGGGGUCUGAGAGGAUGAUCCCCCACACUGGUACUGAGACACGGACCAGACUCCUACGGGAGGCAGCAGUGAGGAAUAUUGGUCAAUGGGUGCAAACCUGAACCAGCCAUGCCGCGUGAAGGAUGAAGGUCCUACGGAUUGUAAACUUCUUUUAUACGGAAAAAAACCUCCCUACGUGUAGGGAGCUGAUGGUACCGUAAGAAUAAGGAUCGGCUAACUCCGU
rnacentral:rRNA from 1 species